GAGUUUGAUCCUGGCUCAGGAUGAACGCUAGCGGCAGGCUUAAUACAUGCAAGUCGUGGGGCAGCAGGUCUGUAGCAAUACAGAUGCUGGCGACCGGCAAACGGGUGCGGAACACGUACACAACCUUCCUUUAAGUGGGGGAUAGCCCAGGGAAACUUGGAUUAAUACCCCGUAAUAUAUAGAAGCGGCAUCGCUUUUACAUUAUAGCAGCAAUGCGCUUGAAGAUGGGUGUGCGGCUGAUUAGAUAGUUGGCGGGGUAACGGCCCACCAAGUCGACGAUCAGUAACUGGUGUGAGAGCACGACCAGUCACACGGGCACUGAGACACGGGCCCGACUCCUACGGGAGGCAGCAGUAAGGAAUAUUGGUCAAUGGACGCAAGUCUGAACCAGCCAUGCCGCGUGGAGGAUGAAGGUCCUCUGGAUUGUAAACUUCUUUAUUUGGGAAGAAAUCCAUCUUUUCUAAGGUGGUUGACGGUACCAGAUGAAUAAGCACCGGCUAACUCCGUGCCA
rnacentral:rRNA from 2 species